ACUCCUUGGGGGUGACAUGGGGGUAGCCGCAGUCCACCCUGUCCUUGGCUGGCACGGCACACUGGUUUGCAGCAGGCCCACGUACUCCUCAGCAGAGCUGGAGGACAGCAAGGCCAGGACCAGCCCCAGCAUGCAGAGCGCUCUGGCAGCCAUGACCACCGUGGGCUCCGGGACGCAGCUCAGGACUCGCUUCAUGGUCCAGGAGGCCUCAUUUAUGCACCGUUGUUUGCACAGCUGCUCUGGAUUGUUUGCUUGGGGAAGGCUCUCCCUCCUGGCUGUGGCUGCUCCUGUUCUCUCCUGCAUGCCUUUGUCAAGCUCCCAGACAGUUUUUCUCUCCCAAAGGGGAGAGGUCAGUUCAGCCCCCACUGUUUUGGCAGCAAGCGGUAAGGGCGGAUUCCAGUUCUGGUUCCGGGUCCUCUACUGGGGAGCG
rnacentral:lncRNA from 1 species